rfam:Phanerochaete carnosa HHB-10118-sp unplaced genomic scaffold PHACAscaffold_5, whole genome shotgun sequence.
UGCCCCAUGGCUGAGUUGGUUACAGCGUCCGACUGUUAAGACCAGACCGCAAGGUCUGCUUACCCAAUCGGAAGGUCGUGAGUUCGAGCCUCACUGGGGCAG